rnacentral:tRNA from 1 species
GCACGGCUAGCUCAGUUAGUAGAGCAUGCGACUCUUGAUCUCAGGAUCGUGGGUUUGAGCCCCAUGCUGGGCG